CGAAACUGGGCCAUUCUCUUCACUGCCAGGAACAAUCAAGGUAAUGGAUCGAAGAAGGAAGUUCAAUUUAUCAAGGAUCAAGUUUUGGAGUAGCAGACGCCACGCCACGCCACCUUCGGUUAGAGAAUAAUGAAUAAGAUUGCAUGCAAAAAUACAAAAGUGGAUGCGUGGUGAGUAACAAAAGCUACAUUCCUGCAUCACCUUCUUCACAGUCAGCUGUGGCCGGAGUCUGUGUGCCAUAUUCUAAAGUUUUGAUCUUUUUUGCGUGUUCACUGCUUUGGUUAGUGCUAAACCUUUUACUUUGUCAAGGGAAACAGAGGCAUCGCCUUUUCUAGGUUGUGUUCGGUUUCUGUUAUUGAUUACGAAUUUACGUCAAUAACAAUUAGUCUCAAAGUUUAUUGGUUUUCUAGAAUGUUUUAAUGUAAUAUUUAUUGUCUAAGACUUGAAGUUUAAUUUGAUUAUCG
rnacentral:sRNA from 1 species